UACGUAGGUCCCGAGCGUUGUCCGGAUUUAUUGGGCGUAAAGCGAGCGCAGGUGGUUUAUUAAGUCUGGUGUAAAAGGCAGUGGCUCAACCAUUGUAUGCAUUGGAAACUGGUAGACUUGAGUGCCGGAGAGGUAGGCGGAAUUCCUAGUGUAGCGGUGAAAUGCGUAGAUAUUAGGAGGAACACCAGUGGCGAAGGCGGCCUACUGGACGGUGACUGACGCUGAGGCUCGAAAGCGUGGGGAGCAAACAGG
rnacentral:rRNA from 1 species